rnacentral:rRNA from 1 species
ACCUGCCCUGUACACACGGAUAACAUACCGAAAGGUAUGCUAAUACGAGAUAAAAUACUUUUAUCGCAUGGUAGAAGUAUCAAAGCUUUUGCGGUACAGGAUGGACCCGCGUCUGAUUAGCUAGUUGGUAAGGUAACGGCUUACCUAGGCGACGAUCAGUAGCCGACCUGAGAGGGUGAUCGGCCACAUUGGAACUGAGACACGGUCCAAACUUAAACGGGAGGCAGCAGUGGGGAAUAUUGCACAAUGGGCGAAAGCCUGAUGCAGCAACGCCGCGUGAGCGAUGAAGGCCUUCGGGUCGUAAAGCUCUGUCCUCAAGGAAGAUAAUGACGGUACUUGAGGAGGAAGCCCCGGCUAACUACGUGCCAGCAGCCGCGGUAAUACGUAGGGGGCUAGCGUUAUCCGGAAUUACUGGGCGUAAAGGGUGCGUAGGUGGUUUCUUAAGUCAGAGGUGAAAGGCUACGGCUCAACCGUAGUAAGCCUUUGAAACUGGGGAACUUGAGUGCAGGAGAGGAGAGUGGAAUUCCUAGUGUAGCGGUGAAAUGCGUAGAUAUUACGAGGAACACCAGUUGCGAAGGCGGCUCUCUGGACUGUAACUGACACUGAGGCACGAAAGCGUGGGGAGCAAACAGGAUUAGAUACCCUGGUAGUCCACGCCGUAAACGAUGAGUACUAGCUGUCGGAGGUUACCCCCUUCGGUGGCGCAGCUAACGCAUUAAGUACUCCGCCUGGGAAGUACGCUCGCAAGA